rnacentral:rRNA from 1 species
UACGUAGGGAGCAAGCGUUGUCCGGAAUCAUUGGGCGUAAAGCGCGCGUAGGCGGCCCCGUAAGUCCGCUGUGAAAGUCAAAGGCUCAACCUUUGAAAGCCGGUGGAUACUGUGGGGCUAGAGUCCGGAAGAGGCGAGUGGAAUUCCUGGUGUAGCGGUGGAAUGCGCAGAUAUCAGGAGGAACACCAAUAGCGAAGGCAGCUCGCUGGGACGGUACUGACGCUAAGACGCGAAAGCGUGGGGAGCGAACAGG